UAUACCUUCAACAUGACCACAGGCGAUAAGUAUCUGAUCAGGGCCAUUUUCUUCCAUGGUGGUUAUGACACAAGACCCUCUACUAAGUUCGAUCUCCACCUCGGGCCUAACAAAUGGGCGACAGUUUCAACCGCCGAGGAGACCAAGUCUGAAACAUUUGAAAUCAUACACAUAUUGGCCACUAGCAGGUUACAAGUCUGUCUCGUCAAAACAGAGGAUUCAACGCCAUUCAUCUCCGCUAUAGAGCUGCGUAAACUCACCAGCAAAGCGUACGCGAACGAGUCGGGGUCCUUGCAGACUUUCUUGAGAGCAGACAUUGGCUCCUUCUCUAAACAAUCUUUAAGGUUUUAGUUUCAAGUUCAUGUUAAAAAACAAUGAAACGAAC
rnacentral:lncRNA from 1 species